GGAAGAGGCAGCAAUGGAAGCCAUAAAUGAUCAAGAGAAGAGCAGAUAAGGGCUAUCAGGAUUUUUAAUUUCUUACACUUUGUAAGACAGACACUUGAUUACUGAAAUACUACGAUGAUAAAGGGAAUGAGCAAAGCAAAGCAAGCGAAGCAGUAGUACUAUAUUGGAGAUAUCCUACCAAACGCGUCAAUCAAGGAAUGUAAUGGGUACGCAGAAAAAAGUAC
rnacentral:misc_RNA from 1 species